CCUGGGCCCCAGGGGGCUCCUGAACGGCGCGUGGCGUCCAGCACGUGGAAAAAGCUUCAUAAACGUGGACCGAAUUCACGAAGGGGGACGGAAGCCUAACCUGAGCCCCUCCUUGCAAGGUUGCACCCUGCUCUGUGCAGAAAAAGUAGAAGGCACAAGUCAAAGCUUUGCGGAUGCAGAGGUCCUGUGGGCAGUGACCAGACCGGCCGCGCGCAGCAAACGCCAGCAGCCAGGACCAGCAUGGGCCUACUGCCGGGACACAGAACCCCAUGCGCGCCCCAAACGCACGUCUUGCCCCACCCCUUCCCCCUCAGGUCCUGCAGCCCUGAGGUGCAGUGGGCAAGCCUGCUGAGCAGAGCCUAGGACAGGGAUACAAGGUUUCUGGGCCUCAGGGCAGGGCAGGAGGGCUGCGAGCUCGGGGCCAGAGGGUUUCUCUGCUCACUGUGCGCGGUUUGCACAAUGCCAGGGCUUUGGCCAUAAUGGCCCACAGGCCACCCCUCAUUGGAAGAGUUAAGUCUGUGGCUUGAAGGGGAGCCCCCAGCUCUACGGUGCCUCCUGUACAAGGCUGUGGCCAGCCUGGGAGUGCCCACGCCCCGCUGCAAGGGGGGACCCAGGCUGCCUCCAGGAGCCUGCUUCGGGCUCUCAUUCCUCCUUGCCUGCCAGGUAGAGCCCCCCUCCCGGAGCAGGUGGUCAGAGCUGAACUGGGACAGUGACACACGACCUCUGGCAGGCGGGCAGCACGGCGGGAGGACCGCAGAGCAGUGUGGUGGGGGUCACGGCUGUGGGGUGGGAUGGGGUCAGGUUCCACCCAGCACCAGGGUGGCGCUCCUGAGGACUCACCCACCCUCCCUCCUAGCCCUGCCACAGCUCGAGGACCGUGCUGCCGCCUAGUGCCUGUAGCCCAGCCUAGCACGAUGGUGGAUUUCUGGGAGUCCAGGCCUAUGUACCCGACCAGAUGUGGACACCUGGACCCCAUUCCCUGCAUGGCAUCUCGAGCGGGGCAUUCAGGACACUGCCGGGCUCCACAGGUCGUAGGAACCUGCUGGCCCCAGAACCACGAACUGGCUGACCAGCUUGCCGGCUCCCUACACCUGUCCUCACCGCUCCUGCACUGUCCUCCCCCAUGGGCCCCUCCCAGAGUCACCAGGAAUGCUCCGUCACAUCUCCUGAGAGUGGCGACAAGGCACAGCCAGCCCCAAGAGCCCAAGCACAGAGGCUUUAGUAAGCGCUGCCGUGACCCCCCGUUUGCUCCCAGUGACAUCCUGGCCUGAGCAGCACCGCUGGUCCCGCCCUCCCUCACCCGCCUCCUGGCUGCUCAACUGAAUAUGCGGUGAUGCUGCUGCCAUGCACGUCCCGGAGCUGGGGGCUGGGGGGCCCUUCCAGGGUCCUGGGUCCUGGCUCAGGGAGCAAAGCGUUGGGCGAGGCUGACCCAGCCUGGCCCACAGACAGAGACCAGUGCUGGGGGUGCUGACGGACAUUGGUGCACACUCACAAGUGACACAAACCACACACGUGCAUCUGUCACCUCGGGGGAGUAGUGACCAGCAGCAGCAGAGGUGGCGAAGGACAAACGGCCGCAGCACACCCGAGCAGACCCUGCCUGUCACUCCUUCCCUGAGGUGGACCAAGGCCACGGUGGGGGGCACAGCAGUGGCAGUGUGCGGGAGGCUGCCCGCGCCCACCUGGAG